rnacentral:rRNA from 1 species
GUCCUUUAGAUUUUAAUUAAAGGUCUAACCUGCCCACUGAAAAAGUUUAAAUGGCCGCAGUAAAUUGACUGUGCAAAGGUAGCAUAAUCAAUAGUUUUUUAAUUAAAAGCUUGUAUGAAUGGUUGGACGAGAUAAAAUCUGUCUUUAAUUAAAAAGUAGAAUUUAAUUUUUAAGUUAAAAAGCUUAAAUUUUAUUAAAAGACGAGAAGACCCUAUAGAUCUUUAUAAUAAAUUAUUUAUUUUUAUUGGGGAUUAUUUAGUUAUUUUAUUUGAUUUAUUAUUUUAUUGGGGUAAUAUUAAGAUUGAAUUAAUUCUUUUUUGAAAAAACAUUUAUUUUUGAUUAAUUGAUCCACUAUUAGUGAUUAUAAGAUUAAGUUACCUUAGGGAUAACAGCGUAAUUUUUUUAGAGAGUUCUUAUCGAUAAAAAAGUUUGCGACCUCGAUGUUGGAUUAAAAGUUAUUCUAGGUGUAGUAGUUUAGAGAUUUGGUCUGUUCGACCAUUAAAUUUUU